rfam:Picea glauca, whole genome shotgun sequence.
GCAACGGUGUCUUUAGACACCACCUUUUUUGUGUGAAAUUUUAUU